GAUGAACGCUGGCGGCGUGCCUAAUACAUGCAAGUCGAGCGAACGGACGAGAAGCUUGCUUCUCUGAUGUUAGCGGCGGACGGGUGAGUAACACGUGGAUAACCUACCUAUAAGACUGGGAUAACUUCGGGAAGCCGGAGCUAAUACCGGAUGAUAUUUUGAACCGCAUGGUUCAAAAGUGAAAGACGGUCUUGCUGUCACUUAUAGAUGGAUCCGCGCUGCAUUAGCUAGUUGGUAAGGUAACGGCUUACCAAGGCAACGAUGCAUAGCCGACCUGAGAGGGUGAUCGGCCACACUGGAACUGAGACACGGUCCAGACUCCUACGGGAGGCAGCAGUAGGGAAUCUUACGCAAUGGGCGAAAGCCUGACGGAGCAACGCCGCGUGAGUGAUGAAGGUCUUCGGAUCGUAAAACUCUGUUAUUAGGGAAGAACAUAUGUGUAAGUAACUGUGCACAUCUUGACGGUACCUAAUCAGAAAGCCACGGCUAACUACGUG
rnacentral:rRNA from 1 species